AAUACAAGUGACUCCCUGAGUACCAGCCACUUUAAGCUCGUCCCUGGCUCCUAAAUAAAAUGUAACGUACCAUUUGGAACAAAGCAGAAGCCACCGGAAGUUGUGUGGUCUGGCUCACAGAGAAGUGUUUGAUCUGCAAAGUAUUCUUGUUGGACUCCAGCUGGUUGAAGAUGUCAGCAACCCCUCCAGGAGCAGUUGGCACGUGGUACUCUACCAUGGUGAAGUGCUGGUCCUGUGUGUUCAGAUACCAUGCAGUGGGAGCCCAGGCAUCGGAACUGACCUUUCACCAUGAUGGCAAGACGGUUGCACAGCGCCUCGCACUCCUCCAUGCUGUGAUGGAGAGACAACGAAAGAAGGAUAAAAGGUUAUACAAGGACCCUUUG